CAGGACGAACGCUGGCGGCGUGCCUAAUACAUGCAAGUCGAGCGAAUGAUUAGAGAAGCUUGCUUCUCUCUGAUUAGCGGCGGACGGGUGAGUAACACGUGGGUAACCUACCCUAUAGACUGGGAUAACUUCGGGAAACCGGAGCUAAUACCGGAUAAUACUUCGAAACACAUGUUUUGAAGUUGAAAGAUGGUUUCGGCUAUCACUAUAGGAUGGACCCGCGGCGCAUUAGCUAGUUGGUGAGGUAACGGCUCACCAAGGCAACGAUGCGCAGCCGACCUGAGAGGGUGAUCGGCCACACUGGGACUGAGACACGGCCCAGACUCCUACGGGAGGCAGCAGUAGGGAAUCUUCCACAAUGGACGAAAGUCUGAUGGAGCAACGCCGCGUGAGUGAAGAAGGAUUUCGGUUCGUAAAACUCUGUUGCAAGGGAAGAACAAGUAGCGUAGUAACUGGCGCUACCUUGACGGUACCUUGUUAGAAAGCCACGGCUAACUACGUGCCAGCCGCUGC
rnacentral:rRNA from 1 species